rnacentral:rRNA from 1 species
ACGCUCGACACCUACGGGUGGCAGCAGUGGGGAAUAUUGGGCAAUGGGCGCAAGCCUGACCCAGCAACGCCGCGUGAAGGAAGAAGGCCCUCGGGUUGUAAACUUCUUUUAUCAGGGACGAAGCAAGUGACGGUACCUGAUGAAUAAGCCACGGCUAACUACGUGCCACAGCCGCGGUAAUCUGAGCGGGCUGGCAAGGC